CUGGGUUAGCCUUCGGGCGCAACUCCACCCUUUGUAACCGCGGCCCGGAUUCGGCGCCUGGCGGGGAGCACCCCCCCGUUCGCGGGGGGCCCCGCCUGCCGGAAUUAGCCAACCCUGCCUAGAAAAUUGAAGUCUGAGAACAAGUUAAAUUAAACA
rnacentral:misc_RNA from 1 species